rnacentral:rRNA from 1 species
UACAGAGGUCUCAAGCGUUGUUCGGAUUCAUUGGGCGUAAAGGGUGUGUAGGUGGCGCGCUAAGUCGGGUGUGAAAUUUCGGAGCUUAACUCCGAAACUGCAUUCGAUACUGGCGUGCUUGAGGACUGGAGAGGAGACUGGAAUUCAUGGUGUAGCAGUGAAAUGCGUAGAGAUCAUGAGGAAGACCAGUGGCGAAGGCGAGUCCCUGGACGAUACCUGACACUGAGGCACGAAAGCCAAGGGAGCAAACAGG